GCGCCAACAGCGCUGGCUCCGCGGCCGCCGCCGCGGGGAGGGCGCACAGGGGGGCUCUGGGGAGGAAAGGAUGUCAGUACUGCCCGCGGGAUCUAGGCUGGGCGAGGAGAGGAACGGAGAUGGGCGGAGGCGACAUCAGUUAGACAAACGCUGCACUUAACGGAUUUGGGAUCUCGCCAAGGCGUUGGCCCAAGGGCCCAAGUGCAAGAGGAAGACACGGUGGAGAGGGGCUGGCCGUGUUCCUGCAGAGCAGGUAGGAUUCCUGGGUUUUAAAAGUAUACCCACCUCAUCCAACACAAAUACACAACAACAUAGUCUCCUGAAGGUCAGAAAGCACUAUGAAACAUUUCUUAUAAAAGUAUUUUUAAUAAAUCAAUGUAUUUCAAUGUUGUAACAUGAUAGCCCAAUGCUAUAUCAAGGUAGCAAAAGUGAAGAUUCCUGGUAUUUUUAUAUAAACACUAUGAAUGACAGUACAUUUGCAUUCAACUUCACAAGAAAUUAUCUUCAGGUCCAUGAAGAUUCUUUGACAGCUGUAACACCCUUCAAACAGCGAAGAUGUGUGUUGAACGAGUAGACAAAGUCUAAUAAUUGAGUUGUACUCUAAAACCAACCAUACUGAAGAAAGGGGGAUACGAUGGCAGUAUGGCCAGCUUGCUGAACAAAAACCCCUUCUUU